rnacentral:rRNA from 1 species
AGUGAACGCUGGCGGUAGGCCUAACACAUGCAAGUCGAACGGCAGCACAGGAGAGCUUGCUCUCUGGGUGGCGAGUGGCGGACGGGUGAGGAAUACAUCGGAAUCUACUCUGUCGUGGGGGAUAACGUAGGGAAACUUACGCUAAUACCGCAUACGACCUACGGGUGAAAGCAGGGGAACGUCGGGCCUUGCGCGAUUGAAUGAGCCGAUGUCGGAUUAGCUAGUUGGCGGGGUAAAGGCCCACCAAGGCGACGAUCCGUAGCUGGUCUGAGAGGAUGAUCAGCCACACUGGAACUGAGACACGGUCCAGACUCCUACGGGAGGCAGCAGUGGGGAAUAUUGGACAAUGGGCGCAAGCCUGAUCCAGCCAUACCGCGUGGGUGAAGAAGGCCUUCGGGUUGUAAAGCCCUUUUGUUGGGAAAGAAAUCCAGCUGGCUAAUACCCGGUUGGGAUGACGGUACCCAAAGAAUAAGCACCGGCUAACUUCGUGCCAGCAGCCGCCGCGG